rnacentral:tRNA from 1 species
GGCAGAGUAGCUCAGUUGGUGAGAGCGCACGACUCAUAAUCGUGAGGUCGCGGGUUCAAGCCCCGCCUCUGCUACCA